rnacentral:tRNA from 2 species
GGGUGGUUAGCUCAGUGGUAGAGCACUGCCUUCACACGGCAGGGGUCACUGGUUCGAACCCAGUACCACCCACCA